rnacentral:rRNA from 1 species
ACGGGAGGCAGCAGUGGGGGAUAUUGCACAAUGGGGGAAACCCUGAUGCAGCGACGCCGCGUGAGUGAAGAAGUAUUUCGGUAUGUAAAGCUCUAUCAGCAGGGAAGAAAAUGACGGUACCUGACUAAGAAGCUCCGGCUAAAUACGUGCCAGCAGCCGCGGUAAUACGUAUGGAGCAAGCGUUAUCCGGAUUUACUGGGUGUAAAGGGAGCGUAGACGGUUUGCCAAGUCUGAUGUGAAAGCUUGGGGCCCAACCCCGAAACUGCAUUGGAAACUGGUAGACUAGAGUGUCGGAGAGGUAAGUGGAAUUCCUAGUGUAGCGGUGAAAUGCGUAGAUAUUAGGAGGAACACCAGUGGCGAAGGCGGCUUACUGGACGAUAACUGACGUUGAGGCUCGAAAGCGUGGGGAGCAAACAGGAUUAGAUACCCUGGUA